GCCGGCGUGGCGGAAUUGGCAGACGCGCUGGACUCAAAAUCCAGUGGUAGCAAUACCGUAUCGGUUCGACUCCGAUCGCCGGCA
rnacentral:tRNA from 6 species